GUCCAUGCCGUAAACGAUGAAUACUAGGUGUGGGAGGACUGACCCCUUCCGUGCCGCAGUUAACACAAUAAGUAUUCCACCUGGGGAGUACGACCGCAAGGUUGAAACUCAAAGGAAUUGACGGGGCCCGCACAAGCAGUGGAUUAUGUGGUUUAAUUCGACGCAACGCGAAGAACCUUACCAGGAUUUGACAUCCAACUAACGAAGUAGAGAUACAUCAGGUACCCUUCGGGGAAGUUGAGACAGGUGGUGCAUGGUUGUCGU
rnacentral:rRNA from 1 species